AAUGACCUCAAAUCAGGCA
rnacentral:rRNA from 1 species